CUCUCACUCUCUCGUCGCUCAGCUCUCAAUCUCUCGUCGCUCAGCUCUGACUCUCUCUUCUCUCUUCUCUCUUCCUCUCCCAGCGAAAUCUGUUCAUCGAAGCUCAACUCUAUCGUUCACCUUGAACAGGUACUAUUCAUCGUCAUUUUCUUACAGUUUAAGGGUUUCUCUGAAGUUGGUUUAGGGUUUAUGCAUUUCUAUGAAAUUGGUUGAGGGGUUUGUUCGAAAUUGGUUGAAGGUUUAGGAGUUUCUCUGAAAUUGGUUUAAGGGUUUCACUGAAAUUUGUUUUGGGGUUUCUCUGAAAUGAUCUUAGUAUGAUGAUUCCUUGUUUGAAACAGUGAAUGGGUUUGUCCUUUGUGGAUUGAUGCUUGCACUGCUGUUGUUUUGCUGUUGCUAUUGAUGUCGUAUUGUUAUUUUUUUGCUAGUGUAUUGCUAAUGUAAUGAUGUUGUGUUGGCAUUUUAGUGUUGUUGUAUUUUUAGUUUAGUAUGGUUUUAUUAUGGUUUUUGUAGCAGUUAUUGAUUGGUAUUUGGUGGCUUACUAUGGGUCUUUAUGACCAUUGCAUUUAACCUUCUUACAAGUCUAAUCGGUAUCUAUUUUCUUUGUUGAAGAUGAUAUCUAAAGUCUAAGACAAUUAACCUGUGUAUAUCAUUUUGAACUUGUAAACUCCCAACCAUAUCAUACUUUUUGUUUGAGAAUAAUGCUUGUUAAUUUGACAUAUUUUUUUAUAACUAUGUUUACUAACUUUAGGGCUUGCAUAUUGGAUAUGGAUAAGUUUUCUUUAGAACUAUAUGUGGUGUAAUAUGAGUUCUUUAAAAGUUUGCUCUUUUAUGCUUGAUCAUUGUCUGCUUAAGCGGAAAAUGAGUGAAGAUGGGAACCUACCACCAGCAGGUGUGGUUUAGAGAAAUGGAGACAUUGAUUUUGCUAUAAGCUAACUCUUUAAGCUUAUGCUUUUCUUGUUUGUGUAUGGAUACUUAGAGAACUUUGUUUCUGAGGAAAACUUAUAAUUUUGUAAUUGUACAUAUCUUACAAACAUUUUAUACAGUUUUGAUGGUUUAUUUAUUAAUUUAUCUUUGAUAUCGAUAAAGCAGAGAAUACAUACAGACCUCUUAUUUUGUUAAGAAAAAACUGAAGGGAUGGUGCCAAUUUCAUUCAUUUUCUUACAUUUGAAAGGAGGGCCAUAGUGGAGUCAUUAUUGUGGUUGCCACUAAUUCAUAGGAUGUUCCAUUACAUUAUACCUUGAAGUCAAUCAAUUCUUUCCCGAUGUCUUCUUGUUUUUUAAACUCUUUCUAGUCAGAUAGAUUUCUAUCGUUAGUCUUGAAUUGUUCUCAAUUAGGCUUGUGCUACCGCACAUUCCCAUUCUAGCUGAAGCUGUCUCAUGAUUAUCUGGUGUGUUGAGAUGUGUCUUUAGAUAUUAUAUUAUGCAGGAGUGGUAGAGUACUGGGUGUCUUGAGACGUGGCUUUGAGCUAUUGAAUUAGUAGGUCAGCUGUAAAUAGCUGGGGUUUUGUGUAUGCUCUGUAUUUUUUGUUUAUUUGUCACUUAAUAUCCUAUAAUAAGCUGUUGAUAAGCGCUGACUGUUUAUUGCUUGUUAUUGUCUAGAUUGCAACGGACUGAAUUUCUUCUUCAACAUAUCUGGGACAUUGAAGGGUUUAGCAAAUAAGUUUGGGUUGGCGGUGGUUGUUACCAAC
rnacentral:lncRNA from 1 species